CCCGCUCCGCCGCCGCGGGGUCCGGAGCGCCUCGGGCCGGGCGGAGCGGCGGCGGCGGGGUUACAUAGAGCCCCGGCUACACGCCCAGUGCCGUGUGUGCGGCCGGGGAGGGAAGGAUGGAUCUUGGCACUACGCGUGGAAAGAGCCGCUCAUCCGCGGGGAGGAUAUCCUUAAAAAAAAAAAAAAAAAAAAAAAAAAAAAAAAAAAAAUCACUGCGUGUUGUGGAGUCGCUGUUUCAGAGGAGAGCGGCUUAGCUUGAAAGCUGAUGCGCUGCCCUUUCGCUCCUUCAGCUGCCCUUGGAUGGGUUGUGGAAGGCGGGACUGCCAAGAGCGCUCUCUCUCCGGUCAAGGGUUACCCCAGGCUGUUGGCAUGGGCUCAGAAGCGAAAGUUUGCGGGCAUGUGCAGCUCUGAGAAUGCCACAGGACUCUUCUUUUGGGGGAUUAAUACCUGGUGUAAUGCAAGCAAAUUUUUGACUAUCUCUUCUACAGUGUGGUACUUGAAGACUUGCACUUUCAAUAGUCAAAUGUUUUGAAAAAUACGCACUAUGAAGCUGCAGUCUGGCAAAACUAUCACCAAGACCAAAUUUCCUUCUAAGAAACUUUCCUUCUAGUAGUUAUUCCAAUUUCUUACAUUAGUACAUGUGUGUUCACAAAAUGAGAUAGUAUAUGCAGAUUGUCAGGGUGCAAAAUAUAAAGGAAAAACUUUUUUAGCUGCUUUGUUAAUGUUAGUUUUAUGGCUGAAACAUCAGGAAGACUGAUAAUUAGUUCAAUUUAAUUUUUUAAUUUAAAUAAUGUAAUUGAUGGAAGAAGUCAGCAUAGUAGCUUAAUGCAUUAAUGUAAACAUGACUGAAAGAUGAUGCUGAAGUCUUGUAAUAAGAAUUUUGCUCUUUCCUCCAAUUUUGCUCUUUCCUUCAGUAGCGGCAGGACUUUAUUUUAUUUUAUUUUUAAGAUAAAAAGUCUGGUAACGCAUAGGAAACUUUUUCUUCAGUCAAAGUGACAAAUAGAUGUUGUGAUCUGUGCUAUGCCCCAUAUCACGUGUUUAGAUGCCAAUCAAUCCCUCUUAUGUGACCUAACCCUGGACCAUGGCAUAAACUUUAGAUGAAGAUAUUAUUUGAUAUAUUUGUAUGUAGAAGGUGCUUAAAUAUUCCAACUUUGUCUGCUUUUAAAAAUAUCUUGAAUCACUAUAUGAAUUUUAUUUUCCAAGUGUUUCUUUUCAUGAUUUAGCAAUAUUUUGGGUUUUUUUCCUGAAAAGGCUACCUGCCAGAAGAUCAAAUUCAAGUGUUCAGAAGUGUACUGUAUUUUUUAAAGGAAAAAACAAACACCAGCCAGUUGAAAAAUUAAAAGAUGGAAUUUAAAAUCUAUUAUGUGAAUAUCAUCUUCACAAGCUGUUUUAAUCAAGAAAUCAUUAAAAGAGUCCUGAACAUGUAAAAGCCUAUCCCAGCUGAGUUUUACCUUGUUUAAAUGACUGGUAUCACUUUGCCUGUUUUGAAAAAUACAGUUGAUGCUGAGCUGUAAUAGACACCUCUCCCUCUGGAGUGGAAUUGAGCUGCAGCUUGUCUGGGGCAUUUGUAGCAGAAUAAAACUGAAAUAUUUCUGUAGAAUUUCCGAGAC
rnacentral:lncRNA from 1 species